rnacentral:rRNA from 1 species
AUUGAACGCUGGCGGCAGGCUUAACACAUGCAAGUCGAGCGGAGAGAGGUAGCUUGCUACUGAUCUUAGCGGCGGACGGGUGAGUAAUGCUUAGGAAUCUGCCUAUUAGUGGGGGACAACAUUUCGAAAGGAAUGCUAAUACCGCAUACGUCCUACGGGAGAAAGCAGGGGAUCUUCGGACCUUGCGCUAAUAGAUGAGCCUAAGUCGGAUUAGCUAGUUGGUGGGGUAAAGGCCUACCAAGGCGACGAUCUGUAGCGGGUCUGAGAGGAUGAUCCGCCACACUGGGACUGAGACACGGCCCAGACUCCUACGGGAGGCAGCAGUGGGGAAUAUUGGACAAUGGGCGCGAGCCUGAUCCAGCCAUGCCGCGUGUGUGAAGAAGGCCUUAUGGUUGUAAAGCACUUUAAGCGAGGAGGAGGCUACUUUAGUUAGUACCUAGAGAUAGUGGACGUUACUCGCAGAAUAAGCACCGGCUAACUCUGUGCCAGCAGCCGCCGUAACAC